GACGAACGCUGGUGGCGUGCCUAAUACAUGCAAGUCGAACGAGAGCGACCGGUGCUUGCACUGGUCAAUCUAGCGGCGAACGGGUGAGUAACACGUGGGUAACCUGCCCAUCAGAGGGGGAUAACAUCCGGAAACGGAUGCUAAAACCGCAUAGGUCUUCGAACCGCAUGGUUUGAAGAGGAAAAGAGGCGCAAGCUUCUGCUGAUGGAGGGACCCGCGCUGCAUUAGCUAGUUGGUGAGGUAACGGCUCACCAAGGCCAGGAUGCAUAGCCGACCUGAGAGGGUGAUCGGCCACAUUGGAACUGAGACACGGCCCACACUCCUACGGGAGGCAGCAGUAGGGAAUCUUCCGCAAUGGGCGCAAGUCUGACGGAGCAACGCCGCGUGAGUGAAGAAGGUCUUCGGAUCGUAAAACUCUGUUGUUAGAGAAGAACAAGUGCUAGAGUAACUGUUAGCGCCUUGACGGUACCUAAUCAGAAAGCCACGGCUAACUACGUG
rnacentral:rRNA from 1 species